rnacentral:rRNA from 1 species
AACGAACGCUGGCGGCAUGCUUAACACAUGCAAGUUGAACGCAGAAUAGGACUUCGGUUCUAUUGCUGAGUAGCAAACGGGUGAGUAACGCGUGGGAAUCUACCUUUUUGUGGGGGAUAACUGAGGGAAACUUCAGCUAAUACCGCAUAAGCUCUACGGAGGAAAGGCUUCGGCCGCAAGAGGAGGAGCCCGCGUCAGAUUAGGUAGUUGGUAGGGUAAAGGCCUACCAAGCCAAUGAUCUGUAGCUGGUCUAAGAGGAUGAUCAGCCACACUGGGACUGAGACACGGCCCAGACUCCUACGGGAGGCAGCAGUGGGGAAUAUUGGACAAUGGGCGAAAGCCUGAUCCAGCAAUGCCGCGUGAGUGAUGAAGGCCCUAGGGUUGUAAAGCUCUUUUACCCGGGAUGAUAAUGACAGUACCGGGAGAAUAAGCCCCGGCUAACUCCGUGCCAGCAGCCGCCGUAAUAC